rnacentral:rRNA from 1 species
ACGAACGCUGGCGGCGUGCCUAAUACAUGCAAGUCAACGGCUUUCUAUGGAAGCUUGCUUCCACUGAGAAGAUAGUGGCGAACGGGUGAGUAACACGUGGGUAACCUGCCCAUAAGAGGGGGAUAACAUCCGGAAACGGGUGCUAAUACCGCAUAGUUUUCUUGAUCGCAUGAUUGAGAAAGGAAAGACGGCCUUUGUGCUGUCGCUUAUGGAUGGACCCGCGGCGUAUUAGUUAGUUGGUGAGGUAACGGCUCACCAAGACGAUGAUACGUAGCCGACCUGAGAGGGUGAUCGGCCACAUUGGGACUGAGACACGGCCCAAACUCCUACGGGAGGCAGCAGUAGGGAAUCUUCCGCAAUGGACGAAAGUCUGACGGAGCAACGCCGCGUGAGUGAAGAAAAGGUUUUCGGAUCGUAAAACUCUGUUGUCAGAGAAGAACAAGUUGGAGAGUAACUGCUCCAGCCUUGACGGUAUCUGACCAGAAAGCCACGGCUAACUACGUGCCAGCCGCUGC